rnacentral:rRNA from 1 species
UGGGGAAUUUUGGACAAUGGGCGAAAGCCUGAUCCAGCAAUGCCGCGUGUGUGAAGAAGGCCUUCGGGUUGUAAAGCACUUUUGUCCGGAAAGAAAUCCUUGGCUCUAAUACAGUCGGGGGAUGACGGUACCGGAAGAAUAAGCACCGGCUAACUACGUGCCAGCAGCCGCGGUAAUACGUAGGGUGCAAGCGUUAAUCGGAAUUACUGGGCGUAAAGCGUGCGCAGGCGGUUUGCUAAGACCGAUGUGAAAUCCCCGGGCUCAACCUGGGAACUGCAUUGGUGACUGGCAGGCUAGAGUAUGGCAGAGGGGGGUAGAAUUCCACGUGUAGCAGUGAAAUGCGUAGAGAUGUGGAGGAAUACCGAUGGCGAAGGCAGCCCCCUGGGCCAAUACUGACGCUCAUGCACGAAAGCGUGGGGAGCAAACAGGAUUAGAUACCCUGGUAGUCCACGCCCUAAACGAUGUCAACUAGUUGUGGGGAUUCAUUUCCUUAGUAACGUAGCUAACGCGUGAAGUUGACCGCCUGGGGAGUACGGUCGCAAGAUUAAAACUCAAAUGAAUUGACGGGGU